UCCGUAGGUGAACCUGCGGAAGGAUCAUUACAUGGCGGAGAAGGUGGGCACCUGGCCAAAAACUCCAGGUUGUGAUGCCUUCACGCUCUUCCACCCUUGUCUAUUUGUACCUUUUGUCGUUCCCUCGGCGGGUUUCGACCCGCCGGCGGUAACCAUUGAAAACCCUUUUUGCAGUUUAGCAUCCAAUUCUUCUGAUCAAAAUAUCAAAUCGUUACAACUUUCAACAAUGGAUCUCUUGGUUCUGGCAUCGAUGAAGAACGCAGCGAAAUGCGAUAAGUAGUGUGAAUUGCAGAAUUCAGUGAAUCAUCGAAUCUUUGAACGCACAUUGCGCCCCUUGGUAUUCCAUGGGGCAUGCCUGUUCGAGCGUCAUUUACACCCUCAAGCUCUGCUUGGUGUUGGGCGUCUGUCCUCCUUUUUUUUCUUGUGGGGGACUCGCCCUAAAGGUAUUGGCAGCGGUCCUGUCGGGCCUCCUAAUCGCGCAGCACUGUUCGCGCUUCUUGGAGCCUGUACGGAUUUCAGCGUCCAUUAAGCCCACAUUCUUUGACUUGACCUCGAAUCAGGUAGGGAUACCCGCUGAACUUAAGCAUAUCAAUAAGCGGAGGAAAAGAAACCAACUGGGAUUGCCCUAGUAACGGCGAGUGAAGCGGCAGCAGCUCAAAUUUGAAAUCUGGCCUUCCUUGAGGGUCCGAAUUGUAAUUUGCAGAGGGUGCUUUGGCUUUGGUUGCGGUCUAAGUUCCUUGGAACAGGACAUCACAGAGGGUGAGAAUCCCGUAUGUGGUCGCACUCCAUCGCCGUGUAAAGCCCCUUCGACGAGUCGAGUUGUUUGGGAAUGCAGCUCUAAAUGGGAGGUAAAUUUCUUCUAAAGCUAAAUACCGGCCAGAGACCGAUAGCGCACAAGUAGAGUGAUCGAAAGAUGAAAAGCACUUUGGAAAGAGAGUCAAAAAGCACGUGAAAUUGUUGAAAGGGAAGCGCUUGCAGCCAGACUUGCCCGUUGUUGCUCAUCCAGGCUUCUUUGCCUGGAGCACUCUUCGGCGGGCAGGCCAGCAUCAGUUUGGGCGGCCGGAUAAAGACCUCUGUCACGUAUCUCUCUUCGGGGAGACCUUAUAGGGGAGGUGUAACACGACCAGCCCGGACUGAGGUUCGCGCAUCCGCUAGGAUGCUGGCGUAAUGGCUGUAAGCGGCCCGUCUUGAAACACGGACCAAGGAGUCUAACAUCUAUGCGAGUGUUUGGGUGUCAAGCCCGGGCGCGCAAUGAAAGUGAACGGAGGUGGGAACCCUUUUUACCGGGGGCGCACCAUCGACCGAUCCUGAUGUCUUCGGAUGGAUUUGAGUAAGAGCAUAGCUGUUGGGACCCGAAAGAUGGUGAACUAUGCUUGAAUAGGGUGAAGCCAGAGGAAACUCUGGUGGAGGCUCGCAGCGGUUCUGACGUGCAAAUCGAUCGUCAAAUUUGGG
rnacentral:misc_RNA from 1 species